UUUUAUUUGAGAGUUUGAUCCUGGCUCAGGAUGAACGCUGGCGGCGUGCCUAACACAUGCAAGUUGAGCGAUUUACUUCGGUAAAGAGCGGCGGACGGGUGAGUAACGCGUGGGUAACCUACCCUGUACACACGGAUAACAUACCGAAAGGUAUGCUAAUACGGGAUAAUAUAUUUGAGAGGCAUCUCUUGAAUAUCAAAGGUGAGCCAGUACAGGAUGGACCCGCGUCUGAUUAGCUAGUUGGUAAGGUAACGGCUUACCAAGGCG
rnacentral:rRNA from 1 species